CAACACGCGACGCCAUUGGAGGGAGAAGAGAUAUUAAAAGUCUCGUCCCGACCUCGACGAGUUACACACAACUUUCGACGGCGAUUGAGAGUUAGAGCCUUGUCCCUUGGUUAACCGAAAUCGUUCGCGUUCUAACGGGAAAUCGUGGUCUGAAAAAGGGGCUAGCUAUUUGGAAAAAGAGAGAGAAAAAGAGAGAGAGAGUGAGAGGCGUGUAAGGAGGAGGAAAAAGAGGAGGAUAGCAGGGUAAUACGAUGCAACAUAAUUUUUUUCGUCUUUAUUCCUAUCAACUUGUUCUCAACGAUGGUGUGAGUGUUCUUUUAAUAUUUUCAGUCAGGUCGAAGCAAUUUGUGAAAAGAAAAGGUAAUCAUGGAAAAGAGAGAGAAGAGUGAGAGAAAGAGAGAGAAAGAUGGUGAAUGAAAAUUGCCCUUUCGUUCUUAUUCUUUCGUCCAUUUUCUUCGUAUUUCAACACAGUUCGAACGAUCAAAAUAUGCCAUUCAAAAGAUGAAAAAGAAAAAGAGGUGGGGUUUUCACGAUCAGCAAGUAAAUCAAGCCACGCUCGAAUAUUAAGAGAUUGUACGAGAAGGACGGUGAAUACGGGCGUUAGCCGAGAUAGAACUCAUCUUUCGGAAUUUGUUUAUCGAUGUGUAGGUAUAUAAGAAAAGGAAUACAAUCAUAUAACGUUAUAUUCAGCCAAGUUUUUUUUUUUUCAAAUCUAAGCAAUUAAGUAUUAUACGAGAUCAAAAGCGAGAUCUUCUUUAAAUUAACGAUGAAUAGAAAUUUUUAUGGUAAGAAAAUUCAAUUAGGUUCUCAUGUCUAAACAGAAUGCGAACAAAAGGUGAAUCGGUUUGUAAAAAUAAUGACGAAGAUCGACGAGCAGAAGUUCGAAAUUCUUCAAGACUUAAAUAACGUUGCUUUUGAAAACAUAUUCAAGAAGGAAACGGAUGUAAAAGCUAAUGCAAAUAGAUAGCCCUGGUGAACAAGUGAAUCUGUAGUUUAGACAAACGAAGAGAUAGAGAUAGAGAGUGUGAGAGAAAGAGAGAAAGAGAGAGAGAGAGAAUAGCAUUAUGUUAUAAAUUAGCCAUUGUUGCUGGCUCAUAUCCGGAUGCGGCUAACUGACGAAGGAUAAUUUAGCUUGGCCGUUCAGCAGUAUCCGCAAGAGUCGCCGCAACCGCGCCAGGUAUGACGUUUCUAAUUAGUAAGUCUGCUACGUGGAAAUUACGUGCGAUUUGUCGGCGAUUUUGAAACAGCAUUCGCGGAAAUCCACCUUCCCUGUCGGCCGAGAAUUCUCUUCCUUGAGUUAAACUUUGGCUCGAUCAAGUCUUCCUGAGUUUAGAAGAUGAAUAGAUCGACGUGAUUAGACCACAAACGUGUUCACCGGACAUGAUAUCAACGAACAAACUAAUUCAAAGAAUUGAAUCAUAUUACACUAAAAAAUAACCUGACGUAAGUCUCUCCAAAAUCAAAUUUAUCUACAUUCUAAUGAUUUGAAAUCAUUGUGUGACUUGUGUUAGGCUGAUAUCGUAAUAAUCUCAUAUAUCUCUCUCUUUCUUAAUUCAUAAAUCACAGACAAUGAGUAUCCGUCAUAGAUGAAUUUUAUCGAAUCGUUCGUUAUUAAUAAAAUAAAAAAAAAGAUAAAUGACAUUAAACUAACAUAGAAAUACGAGAAUGUAGAGAUACAGAACUAGAAAAGUAUUAGAUUAUUCAAAGAAAUCGGGACGAAAAGCGGCGAGCAGGCAAAUUGGCGACCACGACUCUACCCACAGGCCAUCGAUUGUCGCGAAUUGAAAAACAAUUAGUGAAUUGCGGUUUCGAACGGCAUCGCCACCGCGCUACCUCCCCCUUCUCCCUCUUCGCUAUCUCCUCAUCCCUCUUUCCACGAGCAGCACCACCAUCACCACCACCACCACCACCACCACCACCAUCUCUGUACCAUCCAUUCGUCCUCCGAUCUCGUGCUGAACAUCACCGUAUACAUUCUCGCAUUGGAUAUAUCGCCAUUAAUUUGCAUAGAGGUAAAGCCGAGCGCAAAAACCGGCCGAGCUUUACGUGCAAGUUUCCGUCGGGGAAAUAAUAAAUUUAUCACGCGGAAAUUAUCAACCGGUAGAGAGGACGAAAGAGAGAGAGA